rfam:Selaginella moellendorffii unplaced genomic scaffold SELMOscaffold_25, whole genome shotgun sequence.
GGUUCUAUAGUGUAGUGGUUAUCACAUUUGCUUAACACGCAAAAGGUCCUGAGAUCGAUGCUCAGUGGAACCA